rnacentral:ncRNA from 1 species
GGCCUUCCCGUGGGCCUAAAAUAUCGGGGCGGCGGGUGCUGGCGACCACCUAAAACGCCUA